ACGAACGCUGGCGGCGUGCUUAACCCAUGCAAGUCGAACGGAAAGGCCCUGCUUUUGUGGGGUGCUCGAGUGGCGAACGGGUGAGUAACACGUGAGUAACCUGCCCUUGACUUUGGGAUAACUUCAGGAAACUGGGGCUAAUACCGGAUAGGAGCUCCUGCUGCAUGGUGGGGGUUGGAAAGUUUCGGCGGUUGGGGAUUGACUCGCGGCUUAUCAGCUUGGUGGUGGGGGAGUGGCUUACCAAGGCUUUGACGGGUAGCCGGCCUGAGAGGGUGACCGGCCACAUUGGGACUGAGAUACGGCCCAGACUCCUACGGGAGGCAGCAGUGGGGAAUAUUGCACAAUGGGCGGAAGCCUGAUGCAGCAACGCCGCGUGCGGGAUGACGGCCUUCGGGUUGUAAACCGCUUUCGCCUGUGACGAAGCGUGAGUGACGGUAAUGGGUAAAGAAGCACCGGCUAACUACGUG
rnacentral:rRNA from 1 species